UCUUUUUGCAGCCAAAUUUGCCUGAAAGUGAUGCUGAGGAAUCUAUUGGUUGUUCUUGAGAAGGAAGGGCCUUCUGAAUCUGAAAAAGGAGGAGGAGAAUGGAGAUGAGGAGAAAAGGGAAAGAGGGACCCACUCUUAAGUUUGUGCUCAGCUAAGGACUCCGGAUCACCCACUCACCUUCUUAGGUGAGGAAACUAACUCUGUCCUUAUGUGUUCACUUUCCACAUUUGAAAUGGUUUCAUGUACUUUGGGGACCCAGAUGGACCCUGGAAUGCAUAGGGCUGACUGCGAGCAUUUUCAGCAACAUGAAAGCAAGAUCUGAACCUCUGAGAAGCCAGAUCCAGACACAGAAGCUCUAAGCAAGAGGACAACCACGUAUGAAUGACAACCUGGCUCAGCUGCCUCAGCAUCUUUGCCAGGACUGGUGCAGAGGCCCUCUCUCCACAUGUGUGCCCAGGCCUUAAGCUACAGAAGGAGGAUGCUUGGUUUCCUGGUCCCUCAGUGAGCAGCAUGAUGCCCAGAAACCCAGGGCUGACCCCUAGCAGAGGUGUGAGUUGGAUGGAGCAAUGUGGACCAGCAUGGGUUCAGCUACAAGGCUCCUUGGCAGCACCUAGUCCCUCUCAGGUUCCUAUACUCCUCAGCCUAGACUGGGACAUACAUAAAUAAGGAGCUCACAGCCUCGUGGGUACCCCAGGCAGCUGGGCAUCUGAUAACUAGAAAACAACUGCCUGCCAUGGAUAGCCUAGGGUCUCAAAUGCAGAGGUCCAACACCCUUAGAGUCCCACCAGACCUGCCCCAUCUCUAAUCUUCAGUGCCCAAAGCAAAGGCCCCUCUGUGAGACCCACAGGCCUCUUCCCUUUGCUUCUUAUCACCCACAUCAGAGUUCACAGGAAGAGGGUUUCAAAACCUCAGAGUCACAACUGCACUGAGGUUAGUAGUUUUUUUUUUUCAAGAGAAAGGAAACCAGAAGAGCGGGAGGAGGUGCAGGUGCAACCGAUGAAGGCCCUGGCUGUGGAGUGGGGGGCUCGCACAAAGGGUGAGAGCCAGAGCAAAGACACCUUCUCCCCAAGUCUACUUACCCAGGGGCAGACAGGUCAAAGAACAUGUGUAUAUACUGGGGGUUGCUCCCAAUGCUUCGAAAGUAUCAGGCAUGGAGGACCGUGGGUCAUCCAAAGAUACUUGAUGAGACCUGCCCUGCCCAGUAACUAGUCCCUCUCCCUUGUCUGGUGGCCUCUCUGCCUAGAGAAAAUGAGAGGACUCAAGGCCUCCAUGGCCCUGCACUGCUCAGAUACAGAGCCCUGGCCUCAUUUCCAAGUCUGUCCCCUCUACCCCCCAGGCUCGUCACGCUGCUAUGGAGUCUCUGAGCCAAGAUCUUCUAUGGCCAGUCGUCUUGGCUUUUGUCCAUGUGAGUUGCAUCCUAGAGCUGAGAAUGGGAAACAUUCCAUUUUCAUAUCUCCAACGAGACUGUGAUGAAAUGUCUUGAGUGGCUUGCAAGAUGCUUAUCUACAACAUCUGAUAUGGGGGUGGACUUGAUGUUGUUUAUUUUCCGUGUUUUUCGUUGAUUACAUUUUUAUUUGUUUUA